rnacentral:rRNA from 1 species
UACGAAGGGGGCUAGCGUUGUUCGGAAUCACUGGGCGUAAAGCGCACGUAGGCGGAUCUUUAAGUCAGGGGUGAAAUCCCGAGGCUCAACCUCGGAACUGCCUUUGAUACUGGGGAUCUCGAGUCCGGGAGAGGUGAGUGGAACUGCGAGUGUAGAGGUGAAAUUCGUAGAUAUUCGCAAGAACACCAGUGGCGAAGGCGGCUCACUGGCCCAUUACUGACGCUGAGGUGCGAAAGCGUGGGGAGCAAACAGGG